AUUGAACGUUGGCGGCAUGCCUAACACAUGCAAGUCGAACGGCAGCACAGUAAAGAUUUCGGUCUUUAUGGGUGGCGAGUGGCGGACGGGUGAGUAAUGCGUAGGAAUCUGUCCUGGAGAGUGGGAUAACCCGAGGAAACUCGGGCUAAUACUGCAUGAUAUCGAGAGAUCAAAGGCAGGGGACCCUUCGGGGCUUUGCGCUCUAGGAUGAGCCUACGUCGGAUUAGCUAGUUGGUGGGGUAAAGGCCUACCAAGGCGACGAUCCGUAGCUGGUCUGAGAGGAUGACCAGCCACACUGGGACUGAGACACGGCCCAGACUCCGACGGGAGGCAGAAGUGGGGAAUCUUGGACAAUGGGGGAAACCCUGAUCCAGCGAUGCCGCGUGUGUGAAGAAGGCCUUCGGGUUGUAAAGCACUUUAGUUGGGGAAGAAAAGUAAUGAGUGAAUAACUGAUUGCUCUGACGGUACCCAAAGAAUAAGCACCGGCUAACUCUGUGCCAGCCGCCGCCGUAA
rnacentral:rRNA from 1 species